UACGAAGGGGGCUAGCGUUGUUCGGAAUUACUGGGCGUAAAGGGCGCGCAGGCGGUUUCUCAAGUCAGGCGUGAAAGCCCCGGGCUCAACCUGGGAAUCGCGCUUGAGACUGGCACGCUCGAGUUCGGGAGAGGAUGGUGGAAUUCCCAGUGUAGAGGUGAAAUUCGUAGAUAUUGGGAAGAACACCGGUGGCGAAGGCGCUCUGCUAGGCCGCAACUGACACUGAGGGACGAAAGCUAGGGGAGCGAAUGGG
rnacentral:rRNA from 1 species